rnacentral:lncRNA from 1 species
UACUAUCCAUAUGUACAAUGUUUGUCAAAAACUUUUACAGCAAAAGAUGAGGGAUGAAUCAAACUCGACGUCAACCUGGUGGGUGGUGAUCUUGCAUAUAUGUACAAAGUUUUUACAGCAAAAGAUGAUUCUAAGUUGACGUUAGCUUGAUGUUUUUAUAACUUUGCGAAUAGGUAAGUUUUUGUUUCUUACGUUCCUCAUGGGUCGGUUCUGAAAGUUUUGUUGCUGUUGGAGGUGAGUCUGGAUCUUGGAGAUUGAAAGUGGAGACUCUUAUAUGGAAUUUGUAAGUUUUGCCGACCACUUUCUGCAGUGCUUCAUCCACCAAUAUUUUCCCAUUUUCCUGUAGAAUUUUAGAAUGAGGUAUGUUAAACAAAUAGAUCAAAGAAAACAGAUAGGACAGUUGGAUUGGUUUGUAAGUAAUGAUAGAGUGGUACUUGAAGGCUUAAAUUUAACAUGGCGCCCAAGUCUUUUCCCUCGAGCAAUGUUUUCGCUUGCUCUUCGAAGGUGGUUAUGGAAUGGGUUCCUGUUUCAUCUUUUAUUUCAAAUUGGAUCCUUAACCUGUUGAGAAAGGAAAUAAAAGUUAUUGAUGUGUAAUAAAAUUGGAUGUGUAUAAAUAUUUUGGAAUGGCAGACCUCAUGUCAGGUUCAUCAACGAUCUCUCGGCAGCGGUAACACCAAUAUGAAGCACAUCUUUUAUAAACUCCUUUGGUACAUAUUGUGCAUGCAUCAUAAUAGAAUCCUGCGUUGUUGUUGAUUGAUGCUAUUGUUGCUUGGCAGAUAAUGUUGAAUGGCUGUAGGAAGAAAAAGUCCAAAAAUUAGUCAAUAAGGAAUAAUAGUCUGUUUAAAGGAUGUUGGUUAGAAUGUUGCGAAGAUAGGCUUUGGAAUCUGAAAGUUUAAUGCAAAUGUAAUUAGGAUUGUGUUUUGGUUGGUCAAGGUUUGUUGAAAUGUAAUAGUAAACAUAAAAGAAGUGAAUACCUUAGUUGCUUCUGCUAUCUUCUCAGGAAUUUCAGAGACGUGAGUGAUAUCUUGUUGUUGGAAACUUCUUUUUGGAAUUGAUUUUGUUGAACUGCAUGGAAGGUAUGCUGUGAGUUAGGGAGUGGUGUUUGUUGAAAUGAUAAAUUAGUGACAAUAUGAUUGUUGGUACCUGUUCAUCAGAGCUAGUGUUUGUGGUAAGUCCAUAUCUACAUAGACUUUGGAAGCGAAGCUUGCUUG